AGAGUUUGAUCAUGGCUCAGGAUGAACGCUAGCUACAGGCUUAACACAUGCAAGUCGAGGGGCAGCAUGUUGGUUGCUUGCAACCAACGAUGGCGACCGGCGCACGGGUGAGUAACGCGUAUCCAACCUACCCUUGUCCAUCGGAUAACCCGUCGAAAGGCGGCCUAACACGAUAUGCGGUUCACAGCAGGCAUCUAACGUGAACGAAAUGUGAAGGAGAAGGAUGGGGAUGCGUCUGAUUAGCUUGUUGGCGGGUAACGGCCACAAGGCUACGAUCAGUAGGGGUUCUGAGAGGAACGGUCCCCCANAUUGGAACUGAGACACGGUCCAAACUCCGUACGGGAGCA
rnacentral:rRNA from 1 species